rnacentral:misc_RNA from 1 species
UACGUAGGGGGCAAGCGUUGCCCGGAAUUAUUGGGCGUAAAGCGCGCGCAGGCGGUCCUUUAAGUCUGAUGUGAAAUCUUGCGGCUUAACCUCAAGCGGUCAUUGGAUACUGGGUGACUUGAGUACAGAAGAGGAGAGCGGAACUCCGCGUGUAGCGGUGAAAUGCGUAGAUAUGUGGAAGAACACCAGUGGCGAAGGCGGCUCUCUGGUCUGUUACUGACGCUGAGGCGCGAAAGCGUGGGGAGCAAACAGG